rnacentral:tRNA from 1 species
UGCCCGAUGGUGUAACGGUAGCACAACAGAUUCUGAAUCUGUUUGUCGUGGUUCGAAUCCACGUCGGGCAGCCA